rnacentral:rRNA from 1 species
GACGAACGCUGGCGGCGUGCUUAACACAUGCAAGUCGAACGGAAAGGCCCCUUUUGGGGUACUCGAGUGGCGAACGGGUGAGUAACACGUGAGUAACCUGCCCUUGACUUCGGGAUAACUUCAGUAAACUGGGGCUAAUACCGGAUAGGAAUCCUUGCUGCAUGGUGGGGGUGGGAAAGCUUCGGCGGUUUUGGAUGGACUCGCGGCUUAUCAGCUUGUUGGUGGGGUAGUGGCUUACCAAGGCUUUGACGGGUAGCCGGCCUGAGAGGGCGACCGGCCACAUUGGGACUGAGAUACGGCCCAGACUCCUACGGGAGGCAGCAGUGGGGAAUAUUGCACAAUGGGCGGAAGCCUGAUGCAGCAAAGCCGCGUGCGGGAUGACGGCCUUCGGGUUGUAAACCGCUUUCAGCAGGGGCGAAGCUUGUGGUGACGGUACCUGCAGAAGAAGCACCGGCUAACUACGUG